UGGGGAAUAUUGGACAAUGGGCGCAAGCCUGAUCCAGCCAUGCCGCGUGAGUGAUGAAGGCCUUAGGGUUGUAAAGCUCUUUCACCGAUGAAGAUAAUGACGGUAGUCGGAGAAGAAGCCCCGGCUAACUUCGUGCCAGCAGCCGCGGUAAUACGAAGGGGGCUAGCGUUGUUCGGAAUUACUGGGCGUAAAGCGCACGUAGGCGGACUUUUAAGUCAGGGGUGAAAUCCCGGGGCUCAACCUCGGAACUGCCUUUGAUACUGGAAGUCUUGAGUAUGGAAGAGGUAAGUGGAAUUGCGAGUGUAGAGGUGAAAUUCGUAGAUAUUCGCAGGAACACCAGUGGCGAAGGCGGCUUACUGGUCCAUUACUGACGCUGAGGUGCGAAAGCGUGGGGAGCAAACAGG
rnacentral:rRNA from 1 species